rnacentral:rRNA from 1 species
UGAAUGAUAGUCGGGCUGAAGACUCUACUUGACUAGCUGAGAGGAGGUGCAUGGCCGUCGUCAGUUCGUACUGUGAAGCAUCCUGUUAAGUCAGGCAACGAGCGAGACCCACGCCAACAGUUGCCAGCUCGUCCUCCGGGAUGGUGGGGACACUGUUGGGACCGCCUCUGCUAAAGAGGAGGAAGGAAUGGGCAACGGUAGGUCAGCAUGCCCCGAAUUAUCUGGGCUACACGCGGGCUACAAUGGGUGGGACAAUGGGUAUCGACACCGAAAGGUGAAGGCAAUCUCCUAAACCCAUCCGUAGUUCGGAUUGUGGGCUGCAACUCGCCCACAUGAAGCUGGAAUCCGUAGUAAUCGCGUUUCAACAGAACGCGGUGAAUACGUCCCUGCUCCUU